UAAGAGGUCACGCCUGCCCAGUGACUAUAUGUUUAACGGCCGCGGUAUUUUGACCGUGCAAAGGUAGCGCAAUCACUUGUCUUUUAAAUGGAGACCUGUAUGAAUGGCAUCACGAGGGCUUAACUGUCUCCUUUCCCAAGCCAAUGAAAUUGAUCUCCCCGUGCAGAAGCGGGGAUAACUACAUAAGACGAGAAGACCCUAUGGAGCUUUAGACACUAAGACAGCUUAUGUUAAUUACUCCUAAUAAAGAAGCGAACUAAAUAAGUCCUGUCCUAAUGUCUUUGGUUGGGGCGACCCUGGGGAAAUAAAAAACCCCCAUGUGGACUGGAAACAUGUUUCCAAAACCAAGAGCUUCAGCUCUAAGAAGCAGAAUUUCUGACCAACUAGAUCCGGCAACGCCGAUCAACGGACCGAGUUACCCUAGGGAUAACAGCGCAAUCCCCUUUUAGAGUCCAUAUCGACAAGGGGGUUUACGACCUCGAUGUUGGAUCAGGACAUCCUAAUGGUGCAGCCGCUAUUAAGGGUUCGU
rnacentral:rRNA from 1 species